rnacentral:rRNA from 1 species
CACCGGCGGCCCGAGUGGUGGCCACUAUUAUUGGGUCUAAAGGGUCCGUAGCCGGUUUGAUCAGUCUUCCGGGAAAUCUGACAGCUCAACUGUUAGGCUUCCGGGGGAUACUGUCAGACUUGGGACCGGGAGAGGUAAGAGGUACUACAGGGGUAGGAGUGAAAUCUUGUAAUCCCUGUGGGACCACCAGUGGCGAAGGCGUCUUACCAGAACGGGUCCGACGGUGAGGGACGAAAGCUGGGGGCACGAACCGG